rnacentral:misc_RNA from 1 species
CUGGGAGUUCAGCUAUGGAUGUGAGGGACCGAUUAAGAGGCUUAUCUGAUCAUGAGAGUGUUUGUGGGUCUAGAACAGCCCCAUGCGACUCUUGCGGACGAUCCGUCAUGUUGAAGGAGAUGGACAUCCACCAAAUUGCUGUUCAUCAAAAAAGUUAAUUACAAGAACCAAACUUAAAUUAUCAGACAAGAACCAAGCUUAAAGGGCUGGCCAUGUGAUCAUGUGCUGGGGAAGCAUGAUUUAGCAAAUCCAUUUUUUAUCCGAUUGAACCCUGGUUGCUUUAUAGCAGUUAUGGUUAAUCAUGUGUUUGAAAAUCGACUCCUGUGCAUAAGAAAAGUGAUAAACCAAAGAAAAGUAUUGCUGUAUCAUGUGAUUGUUUAAUUUA